rnacentral:rRNA from 1 species
CAAGUCUAGGGGGCGUAGCAAUACGUCACCGGCGGACGGGUGCGUAACACGUGGGAAAUGUACCUAGUGGUUCGGAACAACGCAGGGAAACUUGCGCUAAUACCGGAUAAGCCCGAAAGGGGAAAGAUUUAUCGCCACUAGAUCAGCCCGCGUCCGAUUAGCUAGUUGGUAGGGUAAUGGCCUACCAAGGCGACGAUCGGUAGCUGUUCUGAGAGGAAGAUCAGCCACACUGGGACUGAGACACGGCCCAGACUCCUACGGGAGGCAGCAGUUGGGAAUCUUGGACAAUGGGGGAAACCCUGAUCCAGCCAUGCCGCGUGAGUGAUGAAGGCCUUAGGGUUGUAAAGCUCUUUUACCCGGGAAGAUAAUGACUGUACCGGGAGAAUAAGCUCCGGCUAACUUCGUGCCAGCAGCCGCGGUAAUACGAAGGGGGCUAGCGUUGUUCGGAAUUACUGGGCGUAAAGCGUGCGCAGGCGGUUUCCCAAGUCAGGGGUGAAAGCCCAGAGCUCAACUCUGGAAUUGCCUUUGAAACUGUGAAGCUCGAGUGCGGGAGAGGUGAGUGGAAUUCCCAGUGUAGAGGUGAAAUUCGUAGAUAUUGGGAAGAACACCGGUGGCGAAGGCGGCUCACUGGCCCGUUUCUGACGCUCAUGCACGAUAGCGUGGGGAUCAAACAGGAUUAGAUACCCUGGUAGUCCACGCUGUAAACUAUGGACGCUAGCCGUUGGGUAGCUUGCUAUUCAGUGGCGCAGCUAACGCAUUAAGCGUCCCGCCUGGGGAGUACGGCCGCAAGGUUUAAAACUCAAAGGAAUUGACGGGGG